CGGUACCUUCAUGAAGGUCUCUACCGCGCCUUUGGCCGUGUCCAGGUUGACUGAAAACAGCGAGUUGACAAUUGUCAUGCCACUGGGAAUAAGCACCAUGACGGUCACCUGUUGCAGCUCGACAACUCAUUCAGAACUGCCUUCUGGAGGCAGCACUAUAAGAUGCCAUUAUAUCUAUUAAGUGUUGGGAGAAAAUGCAGAGAGCACCGUGAGCACCAAGGAUGAACAAUUAACUCUCAUAACAUGGUGGCAAAGCAGAGACCACAUGAGGCUUUGUGAAGAGGUAAGAAGAGCAGGAGAGCCAGGGCCUCCGUGUGGAAGAGUGGUGAGAACAGAAACUGGACAACUCCCUGAAAGAUUCCAUGUGCCCAGCUAAGAUAUUUUGAAUUUUGUUCUUUGAAUGAUAGGGUGAAAAAUGGUAGGGGGUCAGGGAAUGACCCAAAGAAUCAGAGUUUAACUUUAGGAAAACGUUUGCAUUGUGUGGACGUUGAUAAUGUGUAUAGAAAAUGUCCAACACAGCUUUCUUCCCUCUGAAGACGGCUCCCCUGCAGACGCUGCUCCACUGAGAUUAACUUGUGUGUCUCCUUGAUCCAGCUGUACAUCAUAAACCCCGCCCCCUUGUUUAUCUGUGUGUAAUAACCCUGACUCCAUGCUCAGCUGUAUGCAUUAAGCUUGCCUCCCUGUUUACCUCUAAAUAAUAAACAAGCUGAACUUCCAA